CCAGGCCCUACGGGGCGCAGCAGUCGCGAAACCUUUGCAAUAAGCGCAAGCUUGACAGGGCUAUCCCGAGUGCCAUCCGCUGAGGAAUGCUUUUACCCAGUCUAGAACGCUGGGGGAAUAAGGAGAGGGCAGGUCUGGUGUCACCCGCCGCGGUAAUACCAGCUCUCCGAGUGGUGUGGAUGUUUAUUGGGCCUAAAGCAUCCGUACCUGGCUAGGUAAGUCCCUUGUUAAAUCCACCGAAUUAAUCGUUGGAUCGCGGGGGAUACUGCUUGGCUAGGGGACGAGAGAGGCAGACGGGAUUUUCGGGGUAAGGGUGAAAUCCUAUAAUCCCGGGAAGACCACCAGUGGCUAACGCUGUCUGCUAGAACGCGCCCGACGGAGAGGGAUGAAAGCUGGGGGAGCGAACCGGAUUAGAUACCCGGGUAGUCCCAGCUGUAAACGAUGCAUACUAGGUGUUUGGACGGCCACGUGCGGUUCUAGUGCCGUAGGGAAGCUGUUAAGUCUGCCGCCUGGGGAGUACGAUCGCAAGAUUGAAGUUAUAGGAAUUGGCGGGGGAGCACACUAAGGGGUGAAGCUUGCGGCUAAUUGGAGUCGCGCCGG
rnacentral:rRNA from 1 species